rnacentral:rRNA from 1 species
UACGGAGGGGGCUAGCGUUGUUCGGAAUUACUGGGCGUAAAGCGCACGUAGGCGGCUUUGUAAGUUAGAGGUGAAAGCCCAGGGCUUAACCCCUGGAAUUGCCUUUAAGACUGCAUCGCUAGAAUUGUGGAGAGGUAAGUGGAAUUACCGAGUGUAGAGGUGAAAUUCGUAGAUAUUCGGAAGAACACCAGUGGCGAAGGCGACUUACUGGACACAUAUUGACGGCUG